UACGAAUGGGGCGAGCGUUGUUCGGAAUCACUGGGCGUAAAGCGUGCGUAGGCGGAUGUGAAAGUCAGAAGUGAAAGCCCCGGGCUUAACCUGGGAAUUGCUUUUGAAACUUCAUAUCUAGAGUUCUGGAGGGGCAAGGGGAAUUCCGAGUGUAGAGGUGAAAUUCGCAGAUAUUCGGAGGAACACCAGUGGCGUAGGCGCCUUGCUGGACAGAUACUGACGCUGAGGCACGAAAGCAUGGGGAGCAAACAGG
rnacentral:misc_RNA from 1 species